rnacentral:rRNA from 1 species
GCCUAUGGCCAUACCAUCCUACCCACGGCCAAUCCCCUCUGAUCUUGGAAACUAAAUAGGGUAAGACCUAGUUAGUACUUGGAGGGGGAAACCACUUAGGAAGAUCAAGUACUGUAGGUU